CCUACGGGAGGCAGCAGUGGGGAAUAUUGCACAAUGGGGGAAACCCUGAUGCAGCGACGCCGCGUGAGUGAAGAAGUAUUUCGGUAUGUAAAGCUCUAUCAGCAGGGAAGAAGAAAGACGGUACCUGACUAAGAAGCCCCGGCUAACUACGUGCCAGCAGCCGCGGGAAUACGUAGGGGGCAAGCGUUAUCCGGAUUUACUGGGGGUAAAGGGGGCGUAGACGGCGGUGCAAGUAUGAAGGGAAAGCCCAGGGCUCAACCCUGGGACUGCUUUGGAAACUGUGGAGCUAGAGUGCUGGAGGGGUAAGUGGAAUUCCUAGUGUAGCGGUGAAAUGCGUAGAUAUUAGGAGGAACACCAGUGGCGAAGGCGGCUUACUGGACAGUAACUGACGUUGAGGCUCGAAAGCGUGGGGAGCAAACAGGAUUAGAUACCCUUGUAGUC
rnacentral:rRNA from 1 species